rnacentral:pre_miRNA from 1 species
UAAAGGAAGCGAUGUUGGUGAGGUUCAAUCCGAAGACGUGUUUACGUUUUGUUUUCGUAAAAAACGAUCUCAGAUUGAGCCGCGCCAAUAUCACUUCCUAUAUAU